CUUUGUCAUUCAUAUUUUCAGAUAACAUCAGGGCCUCCACAGUGACGUGGAAGAAAUCAACAGUGGUGACUCCAACCCAGGACAUUUUAUGGCCAAAUGUGUUUGGUGCUGCUGCCGUCAUGGUGAUUGUUCUCAUAAUAGUAAUCAUAUGCAUCGCCUUACUGUUACGGCGCAAAGGAGAAUCCAGGAACAGUGCAGCUCUGAGUCUCCGUCCACUCUGAGGACAGAACCUCUAUUCCCAGCAGACCUUUCCACGCAGGGAGCAACUCUAUGAAAAUUAUGUCACUCAUGCUUAAAAACAAAACCACAUACCAUAUUUUCCUGAGCAUAAAUUGUUUAUUUCUUUAUUUUUUAUUAGUGUUGGGGGCCCUGUGGCUUAUACU